AAGAAAAGUGCGGGAGAGAUCUAAAUGAUAGAUAGUAAUUGACUCAUUUAGGCGCCGAAGGAACAAACUAAAAACUCGCCAUUUUUAGUGAAUAUCUCAGGCAAAAGGACCGUAUUUGGACA
rnacentral:ncRNA from 1 species